rnacentral:rRNA from 1 species
UACGUAGGGGGCUAGCGUUGUCCGGAAUCAUUGGGCGUAAAGCGCGUGUAGGCGGCCCGGUAAGUCCGCUGUGAAAGUCGGGGGCUCAACCCUCGGAUGCCGGUGGAUACUGUGAGGCUAGAGUACGGAAGAGGCGAGUGGAAUUCCUGGUGUAGCGGUGGAAUGCGCAGAUAUCAGGAGGAACACCAAUAGCGAAGGCAGCUCGCUGGGACGUUACUGACACUGAGGCGCGAAAGCGUGGGGAGCGAACAGG